rnacentral:ncRNA from 1 species
CCCCCUGUGAGAAUGCCCUAAUAGUCCCCUGUUCGGGGACAAGGAGCUGGUAUCAGGCACAACUAUAGCCCACGACACCUUGCUUAGCCACACCCUCAAGGGACUUCAGCAGUAAUAAACAUUAAGCCAUAAGUGAAAACUUGACUUAGUCAAAGUUAAAAGGGCCGGUAAAACUCGUGCCAGCCACCGCGGUUAAACGAGAGGCCCAAGUUGAUGGAUGCCGGCGUAAAGCGUGGUUAAAAAACAAAAAUACUAAGACCAAAUACUUUUAGCACUGUUAUACGUAUGCAAAAGCUAGAAGCCCAACUACGAAAGUGGUCUUACCUACCCUGAACCCACGAAAGCUGCGAUACAAACUGGGAUUAGAUACCCCACUAUGCCUAGUCGUAAACAUUGAUAGUCCUAUACAUCUACUAUCCGCCCGGGUACUACGAGCACUAGCUUAAAACCCAAAGGACUUGGCGGUGCUUUAGACCCCCCUAGAGGAGCCUGUUCUAUAACCGAUAACCCCCGUCUAACCUCACCUCUCCUUGUCUUUACCGCCUAUAUACCGCCGUCGCCAGCUCACCCUGUAAAGGCCUAAAUAGUAAGCAAAAUUGAACUAUCCCAAAACGUCAGGUCGAGGUGUAGCGUAUGAAGAGGAAAGAAAUGGGCUACAUUCCCUUUUAAGGGCAUACGAAUGAUGUAUUGAAAUAAGCAUCUGAAGGAGGAUUUAGCAGUAAGUUAAAAAUAGAGUGUUUAACUGAAACUGGCUCUAAAGCGCGCACACACCGCCCGUCACUCUCCCUAACCCCUGUAACCUUAAAUAACUAAUUACAUUUUAUCAAAAGGGGAGGCAAGUCGUAACAUGGUAAGUGUACCGGAAGGUGCACUUGGAAUAU